GAUGAAGAACGUAGCGAAAUGCGAUACGUAAUGUGAAUUGCAGAAUUCAGGGAAUCAUCGAAUCUUUGAACGCAUAUUGCGCUCUCUGGUAUUCCGGAGAGCAUGCUUGUUUGAGUAUCAGUAAACACCUCAACUCCCUUUUCUUUUUUGAAAUUGGAGCUGGACUUGAGUGAUCCCAACGCUUUCUUCCAAGAAAGUGGCGGGUUGCUUGAAAUGCAGGUGCAGCUGAACUUUUCUCUGAGCUAUAAGCAUAUCUAUUUAGUCUGCCUAAAAAACAGAUUAUUACCUUUGCUGCAGCUAACAUAAAGGAGACUAGUUCUUGUGCUGACUGAUGCAGGAUUCACAGAGACAGCUUCGGCUGACUUUGUAAACUCGAUCUCAAAUCAAGUAAGACUACCCGCUGAACUUAAGCAUAUCAAUAAGCGGAGGA
rnacentral:misc_RNA from 1 species